AGUAACGGCGAGUGAAGCGGCAACAGCUCAAAUUUGAAAUCUGGCCCCUAGGGUCCGAGUUGUAAUUUGUAGAGGAUGCUUUUGGUGAGGUGCCGCCCGAGUUCCCUGGAACGGGACGCCACAGAGGGUGAGAGCCCCGUCUGGCUGGCCACCGAGCCUCUAUAAAGCUCCUUCGACGAGUCGAGUUGUUUGGGA
rnacentral:rRNA from 1 species